GCAAAAAUAUCCAUCUUAAUACCCUAGUCACCUUAAUUGUCAGAAUAAUGAAAGGAUAGAAUGAAAAUAUAUGUGGAUAUGUAUGUGUGCACACGUGUGUGUGUGUGUGUGUGUGUGUGAGAGAGAGAGAGAGAGAGACAGACAACACCUAAUCGGACUACCAUCUUCAAGAAAACCAUGCCUUAAAACAGUGGAAUCUUUCAGUGUACCCAUAGGUUAGAACACGGCAAGA
rnacentral:lncRNA from 1 species